UCAUAGGAAGCUAUGAUUCACACGCGCUCCGGACUCGACAACAAAUUGAUAAUCAGAAGCGUGAUGAGAUCAGAUUAAAACCAACAGCCGACAGAAGAGGAAGAAGAAGAAGAGGAGUCUGUCUCUCAGGAUGGAUGAGACAUCACAGUGUGGCGACUCUAAAGACAACGUUAAUACGAGCUUGAAGCAAUCAGAUUGCAUCACGAGCCAGCCGACAGCCAAAAGGAUACUUCCACAUCAGGAAAAAAAAGACUCCUCCACUAAAAUGGAGGAUUGUGGGACAUUGUGCUGCUGCUGUUUCGAGUUCCUGGAUGUCUGUUUGGACUGCUGCAACGACACAUAGAGCAGCCAAUCAGAGACGGACUACAAGAUGAUGUCAAAUUCCAGACGGAGUGGAUGUGUUCACGAUGAGUGGACACAAACAUUGUUUGUCUUUGAAAUGUUUUUGGAAAGAAAACAAGGUGCAGACAUGGGCAAUUAUUAUGAUCAGUAAACUGUAGCAUUAGUGGGUUUUUUCAAUAUCUGCUGAUAACAGUACCAAUCCAAAUACCCUUGAAGUGAUAUCGAUACCAAUUGAGUAUUUCAUUCGAUAUCCAUCAUGUGAAUAGAAGCAUCAAAUUGCAUAAAAUGUCCCCGCUCCUCCACAUCUAAAUUAUUUGAUUUUUACAGAAAUGCAUUUUGAAAGUCUUCUAAUUUAUUAAUAUUUAAUGCUUGUGUUGAUUGGCUGUGAGCAAUUCCGUACAAAUAGUCAUAUUUAUUUUAGUUCUGGGUGCAAAAAGGAUCGAUUGUAGGUAUCGUUUGACAGGAGACAUUUCGAUACUACUUGGUAUUGAUUGAUAUCGGUCGAUACCUUAAAAGCCCUGCUGACAACAUGACAUCACAUCCAUUGCAUUUGUGUUUAAUCACCAUGACGACAGACUCUGCUGAUGUACGAUUCAAUUCAAUGCAUUUAUUGUCAUUCUACAGCAACACAACGAAAUUGUGUGUCUGAUCGCUCACCUGGGUUUGGACCUCGCACUGCCUCAGUCAACACUUCUGUCAGAUUUUGUUCAGACCUCCAAACUUCUUCAUGUCUUGAUCUGUUCGACACAUGCCACAGAAAUGUAUUAUUAUGUUAUUUUAUCAAUACAGAAAAUGUUUAAACUUUCCACCGAAGAUUUGAAUGUGCUCACGUCUACUAGAAACUGUUUCAAGUGUCUACAAAUGUUCAUUCUUCUAAAU